rnacentral:tRNA from 1 species
GCCUGGGUGGCUCAGUCGGUUAAGUGUCUGACUUCGGCUCAGGUCAUGAUCUCACAGUUUGUGGGUUCGAGCCCCAUGUCAGGCU